UCAUCCAUACAUAUACAUAGUUUCAUCAAUAUUACACAGUUUCAUCAUAGGUAGCAAGUUUCAUCCAUACAUAUACAUAGUUUCAUCAAUAUUACACAGUUUCAUCAUAGGUAGCAAGUUUCACAAAGUCAAAACAAAAACUAAAGACAAGCACUCCAUCAACCCAAGCUUCCGUGAUCUGAAGCAAAUCUACAAAAUGGGAAAGAAGAAAGUUAGAAGAAGAAUACUAGAAGAAGAAGAUUAUUAUGAUGCAACUAAAAUGUGAAGAUUAUUAUGAUGCAACUUAUACCUGUAAAAUAGGUCAUUUUGGAGCUAAGUAUGGUUAUUAUGUCAUUUUUGAGCUAACUAAGCAUACUAAGUCAUUUUGGUGUAAAAAUGCUAAGUAAGGUCAUUUUGGAACUAAUAAGUUUAUUAUGUCAUUUUGGAGCUAGCUAAGCAUAUGAAGUCAUUUCGGAGCUAAAAUAUGUCAUUUCGUAAGUCAUUUUAGAGCUAGCUAAGCAUAUUAAGUCAUUUUGAAGGAAAAAAUGCUAAGUAUAGGUCAUUUUAGAGCUAUCCUAGGUUAAAUAGGUCAUUUUUGAGCUAAUUAAGAAACGCACUAGGCAAAACUUACCGUCAACCCGUAGGUGAAGGAUCAAGGUUCUUGCUCGCGGUAGUGGCUGACGGAGGAGGAUCAGGGUUCUUGCUCGCGCCAAUGGCAGACUUCGAUGCUUGUCGGGAGUUAUGUUGCACCAAAUUAAAGAUCAUUUGCAAUGUCUAGUUAGCAUGAAUGCACGGGGAGGUCGUCGAACACCAGACCCUCAUAGCAACGAAACAACUGCACAUUUAAAUCCACCUGAUCAACACAAAUAUAUUAUGAUGUUUUUCAUAACAAAAUCGGAAAAUAUAUGACCUAACUCAUAGUUCAUAAAUAUAUGACCCCAUCGGCCUAUGGAAGGCCGAAAAGCACCUGUUCAGUCAACAGGAAGCCGAAGAGGUGUCGGGGGUCGGGGGUGUUGUGUCUGGGUGUCGUGGUAUCAAAGGGACAAAGAUAAAUUCUAUCUAGCAAAAGUGGACUGUAAAGAAAAGCAUGCUACAUGAUCCUCAAAACAUCUAUAAGCAUAUCCUAAAUCUUUACUGAAUCUUCUAAGCUUGAUGUCAGUGUGUAUAAGAUAUUGCUUAAAAGAUCACUUUCUGGUAAUGAUGGACAUGUAGAAAAACUUUAAAAGACAGCCAAAUAAAAUGACAAGCAACAGCUAAAAGAGAAAUAACUGAAUAUACAACUUUGUUGAAGCAAGUUUCAUUUGUGCUCUCCAGAUGGCCAUAAAUUUCGCCCUUUCGAACGGGAGACACUCUCCAGAUGGACAAUCUUAUGACGGUUAUAAAUAUGCAAAGAAAUGCAUAUUUAUAGAUGUCACCCUUUCGAAUGGGAGACGCCUAGGUUAUGAGACUUGACAUGAAAGCAAAAUCUAUUGGCAUCGGCACGACGACCGAAACAAAGCAAAUAGGGGAGGGGGAAGAGAUGAUAGUCGAGCUCAGCCCUAGACCGUUCUUUUUUGCUAGUGUGUGUACUACGGUGCCACAAAUAUUCCCAGUUAAGACAAGUUAUAUUAAAGACGAAUAACCAGUUUUGUUAUAUGUCAUACAACAAAAGUUUACGCAUAUGAACCAUAUAGCAGUACAUUUGCACACAUAUACCACUAGCAGUAUAACUACACACAUAUAGCAGUACAUUUUCUGCAUAGCCAAAAAAAUGCAUUUCACUAUUCUGAAAUUUGUUCACAAAAAUGCAUUUCACUAUUCUGAAAUUUGUUCACACAUUAGCAGUCACUAGUCGUCAACCCGUGUGACUGCACGGGCUAGUUAUUAGAGAUAAAGAUAAUUUAAUCACAAUUGAUAUGUCUUGAAACUAUGCAAAGGCUUACUAUCCCUGUGGCAAACAUACAUACAUUCCUACUAAAAGUAAAUACCAUAUACUUAUUUGAUCCAUAAGGUAUGAAAUACAGUAGGAGUACCCGGUUUGUGGUUUUGUGGAAGUAAAUUGAAAAACAACAUAUAGGCAUCUUCAUAUAUAAUUGAACUUAUAACACACAUGUAUACAUGUUGUAAUUAGAAGAAGAAAAAUACAGUGGUAAAUCAUCUCAGUUAGUAAUUGUAGACCAUUUAGUGAAAUAGCUUCUCAGAUGUUAAAUGCUCCACUACCCUUGCAUUUUAGCCGACAAUUAAUUCUGAUUUAACAAAUAAAAACGGGAAUGAUUGAAAAAAUUAUUGUGUUUCAAAGAGCACGUGAGAAAGGUACAUAGCCUUGGUUUUUUAGCUCUUCUCUCUUUGGAUGUUUUUUUGAAACCCUUGCGCCACCUUGGAGCGUUUGAUUUCUAACGUCUGGUAGCAUGUUCGUGGAAAAAACAAACAUAUAGCAAAUAGAAAUAUAUGAAACUAUAGCUUAUAUAUGAAACAGCCUAGAAUGAAGUGAGCAUGGAAACUUUAAACCUAGCUACGUCAAUAAGGUUCUACAAAUAAUAUACAAAGAGAUUAAACUGUUGUACUUACACGAACGACCGAGAAUAGUAGGCUGCCAUAGUAAAUGUCCUUCAACAGUGUUUGUAUAUUCAUAUUUUGGGACAAUAAUGAAAUUACAAACAAUUGUAAACAGAAAUAGUAAUUGUGGAUCACUACAGUACAUGCUCAUCAAUUUUCCAUUGAACUGUUCUUAAAUGGUUGUAGUAAUAUUUUAGUUUCGAUUGGAACAAAUUGGAGUAUCUGCUCAAACUAAUCGUGAUGGAAUUGCAUCUUUUUGUUCCGAAAUAAAUAUGAAAAUAACAUCAACCACGUACAUAUGAAAAUAACAUCAACCACGUAAAAGGGAUGACACGUGGAUAUGGAGGAUUAGAAAGGCCGGCUGUAGGGGUCGGCUGCCCCAUACCAUACGCCUGUAAGGCAUGAGUUGCAAGUGGAAGGAGAGUGGCCAUAUUGAUCAAAUUUACAAAGCUUAGUGAACUAAAGUAUUAAAUUCAAUAAACUUUAUUUUUAGAAAAGAUAAAAAUGAUUUAGGUUGUGAAAUAUCAUCCAAUACUUGGUCCUACCAUCCUAAAAAAUGCUGAUAAUAGGCAGCCAUAGUGUUGUAAAGUACACAAUCCUAUGGGUAUGAAAAUUAAUCAUGUCAGAGAGGUAAAGAAAAAAAUCAAGUAAAUUCAGCCUCCUGCACACCAAAUCGAUCUGUUGUUGCACCUAAGACAAAUCUCUUUACAUAUAAACAUUGAUUACAAACUAUAUGAGCUUUUCAAUGAGAUGUAGUUCGUCAAGCAGGGUAAGUGAUGCUAAGUGAAAAUGCAGUAUGUCAGUAUCAAGGAAAAUGAAAUGCCAAAAAAUAAGUCUUUGGGUAUCGGAAAACCAUGACAACUUCACUAAUUUGUCUAGUCCACUAAUUUGUGUUGAGGAAGCAAGUGCACACCCGUACAAAUGCAUUAUUGUUACAUGUAUUUUACCGGUACCGCAAAAAUCUAAACUAUGUACGACUACUCACUUUAAAAGAUCUCAUAUUAAUCCUGGUCUUGGCCAUUUGUGGGAACACGAUUUAGGAUAUUUCAUAUCCUAUAAGUUUACAACAAAUGAAUCUCAUAUUUUGUUUUUUAAUAACCAACAAAGAUUACACUUAUAUCUGAUCAUGCAUGGGGCUCAUAAUUGAUUUCUUACCCUGUAAGUUACCCCUAGAUAGGAAAAAAGGUCACUAUUCAUCAUUCCAAAUCUGUCAUACAAAAUUUAAUGAAUUGACUAAAAAAUCGUUAUAAGAAAACAAAAUUGGAAGACAAACUUCAGGGAAAGAGAAGUUUUCUUAAAACUGCUGCAUAUAGUACUCUUAUUUGGCGUGAAAGGUACUCUAAAGUGUAGUGCAUAUUAGUUAAAUGAGUAACCCUUAGCUGAAAAUGUAGUCAGAGUGGCCAUUUUAAACACUUGCGACAUUAGCAAUGUGUAGUCUUAAUUUUAGGAGCGGUCUAAUUAUCUCUAGGAUGGGCCACAGCAAAUUCAUACUAAUUAAAAAUUGAGAUAUUUUUUCAGGGAUAAGAAUAUUUGCUGCUACAAUAUAUUGGACUGAACUCAAACAAUGAGUGUUUCUUUCUUCUUUAAAUACAAUUGGCAUUUUCAUGCAACAUGGAUGAAACGAUGAAUAGAUGAAAUCAGCCUCUUAUAAUUACAACAUGAAAAAAAUAUUAGUUAUAUGCUUCGUUCCCACACAUGUAUUCUGAAAUAUGAAGUGGCACAAUGAAUCUAGACCUAAUUUAUCAAAACAACUGUGCAAAUGAAAUUAAGGGUACUAUAGAAGCUUGUUGAGGAAAUAGAUAUUUGGAGAUUAUAUACAACUACAUUUGUGUAUCCUUAAAAUAUCUAGGAGAAACAAAAUUUGGAGAUCAUAUACAACUACAUAUUUGUUUUCACCCUUGAUGCCAUAAUCCACGUAUUGUUUCAAAUACAGUACACAUGGGUAAAGCUCCAUGUAUUAUAAAUAUACGAUAUGCAAAGAACAGUAAGGAGCUGCGGAUGGCACAUGCUAUUUUUCUCGAUUUACUAUAUGUUAGAUUUUAGUAUAAAAGAGAGAAUAUCGGGUAAUUUUCUACAUGGGCUUUUUUCGCAGAAUUUGUUGUAAUACAUAAUUCACCAUAAAUGUUUUAGAACCUUAGGGAGACACUCGUGUUGACAGAUCUAGGAAACAAAUAUGCAUAUAAGAAUGCUCGAAUAUGGUAACUUUUAUGAAACGAAACAGCAAUGGCUACCACAUGGAAGCAUGUGCAGAGAUAUCUAAGAAUCUAAAAUGAGUAACGUACCAAGGCUGUUUCAUGGCUAUAAAAACAGAAGUGAAACAAAUGAACUUGAGUACGUACAGUAGUACUAUUAGAGUUGACGAAGGGCUGGUGUUGCUUGCUGUUUUCUUGGCGGAGGAGGGAGAUCGGGGCUGGGUAGAAGAGAUGGGAAAGAUGCCAGACGGAGAUAUUUUUUACAGGGAGAGAAGAACAUGUUUUUUUAGGCUCGGAAAGAACUCCUUACGUGGGAUAGUUCGUGAGGACUCUAUGAGGGAUUUCAUCUGACGGCUCCAGAGGUGCAACUCUCAGAUCAGAUGGAUGAUUUUGUUAAGUUUUCUAGGAUUAACGUGGUGUCUCAAUUAGUGCCUCCAAUUAGUAAAUAUAAGAUAAUAUAUAAGAUAUAAGAUUGCAGUACCCACAUAGCAAAAUGCAUUAACUUGUGAUUCCAGAAUUAAACAACCAACAACAUGCGCCAGGGUAGGAUUUUGCACACAACAAGUACUCUGAAAAUAAACUGCACACAUGUACAGAACAGAGAACAUGAGCCAAGACACUGAUCCAUAGGGAAGAAGAGAAGGGGACGAGCUCACCUUGCAGUUUAG
rnacentral:lncRNA from 1 species